rnacentral:rRNA from 1 species
UACGAAGGGUGCUAGCGUUGUUCGGAAUCACUGGGCGUAAAGCGUGCGUAGGCGGCUUUGCAAGUCAGGGGUGAAAUCCCGGGGCUCAACCCCGGAAUUGCCUUUGAAACUGCAUGGCUGGAGUGUCGGAGGGGAUAGCGGAAUUCCUAAUGUAGUGGUGAAAUACGUAGAUAUUAGGAGGAACACCGGUGGCGAAGGCGGCUAUCUGGACGACAACUGACGCUGAGGAACGAAAGCGUGGGGAUCAAACAGG